AGAUUGCAAGAACACAGUGAGGGAGCUGGAAGUCUUGUGGAGUCUUUGAAAACAGCUGUUGUGAAAACACAUUCUGUUGUUUACUCUGUAUAGUAAAGAUUUCUCCAGAGUUCCUGAAUCAGCUAAGCCAUUAGCAACCUCCGAACUCCUAGCCUUCAAAAUUCCAGCCUCGGACCUCACGACUUCUGAACUCCUGGCUUCAGAACUCUCAGCCUUGGAUCUCACGGCCUCCGACUUGCAGGCUCGGAACUCUCAGCCUCAGCACAGACCCGACGAGGCGUCCUCUUGGACCGUUAUGAUGGUCUGCCGGCCCAGCAUGGCUUCGGCAUGAACUUCUGUCUCAAGGUGAUUCCAGAGCAUUCUCCUGGCCUCAUGAACCCUGAGCUGAAGCCAGGCAUGGUCUGGAGUUGAAGCCCAGUGCAAACUGGAGGCUAAGUGCCAGCAUGAACUGGGUAGGAAGACCUGUUCUGAACUUUUUUCUCCAUUUUAUAAUUUAUUCCAAUAAUCUGCAGUGCUGGACUUUGUAUUUUGACCUCAAUUCUUCCAAAGAACUGUAACUGAAAAAGCUGUACUUGGGGACCUUUGUACCUAAGAUGGCACUGUAAGUGGUGACUUGUACACUUAAGGGUCACUGGACCCAAAAUGUUAA